rfam:Tumebacillus flagellatus strain GST4 Contig022, whole genome shotgun sequence.
GUGCCCUUAGUGUAUCGGAUAUCACGGUGGCCUCCGGAGCCGCAGAGGCAGGUUCGACUCCUGCAGGGCACG